GGGGCUGGUCGGACGGCCGCUUGGAAGGCAAUAGCUAACUAAGAGGAAAGUCCGGGCUCCAAAGGGCGCGGCGCUGGGUAACUCCCAGCGGAGGUAACUUCGGGCAAGCGCAACAGAGAGUAGACCGCCGAGGGCUUAAGCCCGCGGUAAGGGUGAAAGGGUGAGGUAAGAGCUCACCGGCCGGCUGGGUGACCAGCCGGGCCAGGCAAGCCCCGUCGGGAGCAAGACCAAAUAGGGGGACAUAGGCGGCCCGUCACGUCCCCGGGUUGGUUGCUUGAGCGCUGCGGUAACGCAGCGCCUAGAUGAAUGGUCGUCUUCUUUUUGGGUCUCUAGCAGCUUAAAAAGGAACAGAACCCGGCUUAUAGACCGCCUCGAGAU
rnacentral:RNase_P_RNA from 1 species